ACGGAAGGCAGCAGUGGGGAAUAUUGGACAAUGGGGGAAACCCUGAUCCAGCGACGCCGCGUGAGUGAAGAGGUAUUUCGGUAUGUAAAGCUCUAUCAGCAGGGAAGAAAAUGACGGUACCUGACUAAGAAGCCCCGGCUAACUACGUGCCAGUAGCCGCGGUAAUACGUAGGGGGCAAGCGUUAUCCGGAUUUACUGGGUGUAAAGGGAGCGUAGACGGCAACACAAGUCUGAAGCGAAAGCCCGCGGCUUAACUGCGAGACUGCUUUGGAAACUGUGCAGCUAGAGUGUCGGAGAGGUGAGUGGAAUUCCCAGUGUAGCGGUGAAAUGCGUAGAUAUUGGGAGGAACACCAGUGGCGAAGGCGGCUCACUGGACGAUAACUGACGUUGAUGCUCGAAAGCGUGGGGAGCAAACAGGAUUAGAUACCCUGGUA
rnacentral:rRNA from 1 species